AUUGAACGCCGGCGGCAUGCCUUACACAUGCAAGUCGAGCGGCAGCGCGCGGGCAACCCUGGCGGCGAGCGGCGGACGGGUGAGUAAUACAUCGGAACGUGUCCUUUCGUGGGGGAUAACCAGUCGAAAGACUGGCUAAUACCGCAUGAGAUCUCACGAUGAAAGCGGGGGACCGCAAGGCCUCGCGCGAUUGGAGCGGCCGAUGUCGGAUUAGCUAGUUGGCGGGAUAAAAGCCCACCAAGGCGACGAUCCGUAGCUGGUUUGAGAGAACGACCAGCCACACUGGGACUGAGACACGGCCCAGACUCCUACGGGAGGCAGCAGUGGGGAAUUUUGGACAAUGGGGGCAACCCUGAUCCAGCCAUGCCGCGUGUGUGAAGAAGGCCUUCGGGUUGUAAAGCACUUUCGGCCGGAACGAAAUCGCGCGGAUUAAUAACCCGCGUGGAUGACGGUACCGGAAGAAGAAGCACCGGCUAACUACGUGCCAGCCGCCGCGGUAA
rnacentral:rRNA from 1 species